AGACCGAACUAGUGGAGGGGACUGACAUUUGAUAUCAAGGAAAUGGAAUGAAUGCUGAAACGGCUUGUCAUAGCGUGGCACUUCCGCGUGCUUUGUAAAUCCGGCGUAAUAUAAGUUGUCUGUUCCGCGAUCAACACGUAAACUAUAUAAGAGCUUUUGAGGCAGAAACCCCUCCACAACUCAUCAGCUGGCUUUUCCCAGUGAAACCUUCCGCUCAGUGCUGUUAACAUGGAGAGUCUGCUCCGCGCAGUGGCCAUGCUGGCUGUGAUGUUCUUGGGGUUGUUCCAGCAGGGAGCUGUUGUGGCCGACCGGCUGUACACAUCUGUGCUGACUGUGACAAACGGACAGCAGUGGGGAACAUGGAGGUGGCCCGAGAUGUGUCCUGACCAGUACUUUGCUAUUGGCUUCAGUACCAGGGUGGAGUCCAGACAGGGCGAUGGCGACGACACAGCCAUGAACGGCAUCCGCCUCAUCUGUGGCAAAGACGGGGACCAGAGCUCAACUUACACUGUGGAGUCUCACCCUGGCUUGUAAGUGUUCUGCACUGGUACCAGUCUCCAAUCAGGCACCUUUCACAAAAUGGACAACAAAUAAAUCCAGUAUCAAAAUGUGUUAACGCUUUGAAGAUCAGUUAUACACUGUGUGUAUUUUAAUCAUCAAAUCUGCAGUUUUUUGCAAUAAUACUUUUGUUAAAUAAUAGUGAUUUGUAUUUGUAUUAGGGCUGCUCGAUUAUGGAAAGAAUCGAUUAUUAUUCAAACGAUUAUAAUGUGCCCUUAUUCUGUUCCCAUCCCAUCUUUUCCUCAGAACUUCAAGUCUCUGAUUAGGUUUCAUUUCCUUUUAUUAAAAACACAAACACUGAGAUCAGAGUUCAGCCGACAGUUAUUUAUAUUUAGCUUUCAAGAGAAAGUUUCAAGUGUCGGCCUUCAUCUUCACAAUAAGAUGAAGAAUCCAUUUUUACAUUGUGUCGUCGCCUCCUCACCUCAUCUGCAAGAGAGCGGCAUGUUUUCACUUCCUAUCAGCGCCUCCAGAUUACGCUGGAGGCGCUGACACGGGUGUUUCCCACAGUUCCUGCUGGAACCGAGGUAAUUAGGAAAUGACGAGAGGGGGUAUUAAUUAAUUUACAGUUUAAGGCCUGACAAAGUUUGAUAAGACAACGAUUGGCACACACAGAGGUAAUUGUGUUAAUUAAUCGCUGAGCAGUUAAUCUGCUGGCGGAGGUUGUGCGGCGGGUCGACGUGAUGUUAUCAAACUCUGUCUCUGGUUUUCAGAUGAUUUUGCAAGUCGAGGCAAAGAGAUUAGAGUUUAAUACACACAACCGCAGAGUUUCUCUUCGCUCAGGUAACAAAUACACUCAGCUGACCUCUUAUCUGGGCUCAGGGUGUUUUUGCUGGGGUUUGAAAAUCAAGUGCACUUGUUGGUCUGCCUGGAUCACGGAUACGCUCAUAUCAGCAGGAGGAGAAUUUAACCAGGAAAACAGACGAGUGACGAGUGAACGCAGAUUCAAUAAGAAACAUAACCAGGUGUCAGGUGGUGCAGGAUUUUAAAGUUCAUCAAUAACAUCUUCAAAAAUAAUAGGCAGCUGGCACAAAGACACAAAAUGUGACUAAUUACAAUGGCGUUCCAGUGACUAUGAUCUAAUACUAAUGGUCCACUAAUCAUUUCAGUGCUCAAAGCCAACAGGAAGAAUCUGAAUCCUGUUUAUUUCCCCACUAGAUGGCAGUGCUGUAACAAGUGGAGCUGCCCAUCACCGCUCUAAAAACCUUUGACUUUUAUGAUUCCACAUAUGAAAAUAUAGAAUAAUGAUUUCAUGGAGGCAGUGAACUCUACAUCAAUCAGUCCGGAGAUGUUGAACAUCUGGUGCAACCACGCGGCUCCAGCAGAGAGACGCCCUCUGGGCACAAAGGCCCGAGCUCUGCACCGACUCGAUCUGGACACUGUACCACGUCCUGUGACAGCAGAGCAAGUUCAUCAUUCAGAACACGCCGCCGUCAGCGAGUUGCUGUGCAGAAACAUGUUCCCUAUGUGGGAACCUCAGGGAUGUGAAGCCCCGGGUCACAAGUUUAAUUUCCAAACCACAGGCUGAAUGUGUUUCUGACCAGCUUAGCGGCUCGCCCGGCCCCAGUCCGCCCGAAGAGCCAUUAACGCCUCCUGUAGUCGACAGAAUGGAUGUGGCGUUUUGUGGUCUCGCCCUCCUGUUAAUGACCCCCCCGCUCCCCAGGGCUCGGAGCUCAUGACUUAUAGAUCACAGCAGCUGUGUCGGCUCAACUGUAAAUAUAGUUCAGCUCGUAAACACCGUGGGGUUAUGGUGUUUACGUGAAACAUUUGAGGGACGGUUUCGGUACGGAACGGCUUUGGUGUCGAGCUGAGGCUGAAACGAAUGGUGUUGUUGUGAUAAUAACAAUAACAUUGAUCCACGGUUCACACGGUAAUGAAGAUAACAACCAGAUGGAGCCGUUUUUUUAAAAAAGAAAAUCGUUUCCUUGGGAGAAAAUAGCGACUUUGGUCUGUGAGUCUCAUUUCCCAGAUGCAUCAGGUUAGUGUUUGUGUUUUCAUUGUGCUCAGUGGACUGAAGUUUUCAUCUCGUCUUUCAGUUAGUUUAUAUAAGAGCAGCACUCGUAUAUGGACUGUCUCCGUAUAAACUAGUCUGGUUGGAGAAUGGCUUCCUGGAGGAAGACUGAAGAUUAAGAUAUGUUUAUUCAUACCAAACACAUGCACAGGCAUGCAAAGGCACACUCAUGCAAUGGCAGGCAAAUUCAACCUCUGCAUUUAACCCAUCUGUGUGCAGGACACACAGAGCAAGGAAGACUCUUGGAUUUUUGGACAGAUCAAUCCAGGUUCGUCUUUUGUUGUCUCUCCGUGGAGUCGAACCAGAGACGAACCAGAGACCUUCUCUGCCCAUAGUCCAAGUUUCUGCCAUUAGACCACCGCCUCUCUAAAACUAGUUGCAUUGGCCGGAACUACUUGUUCUGGAGUUUUUCUGAGGUAACAAAUACAAGUGACCAACUGUCCUUAACAGAUUCCUGAUUAUACAUGACAUCACAUUAGGAUCAUGCAUAAUUUGUGCCUGUAAAACAAAUAAAUAAAAACCUCAUACAUAAUAAAAAAAAUGUUUUGUAGCUGUAAAAAUAUUUGGGGGUUGUGUAAAUGUAUUAUCACCUGUAUGACUAUUUUGUAUAUGUGUAAUAAUGUUGUAGAAAAUUUUUAAACAUAACAAAAUUUGUUUUGUUAGAGAGGAAAACAAGUUUUGUUGGUUUUUGUAGCUGUAGAAAUACUUUAUGUACUGUCAAGUACAAUUCUACAUGUAUAAAUAGUUUGCUUGGUUGCAUAACAUUUGUUAAAACUGUCAAAUAAUUUGUAUCUGUAGAAAUAUUUUUUAAAUGUAUACAAAGGAUGUUUUGACUUAUAUUCCAAAAAAAAGCAGCACUAACUGCGCCUGUUCUCUUUUAGAAACAUGUUUUUAAAAGCUAUGUAGUAGUAUUUAAUAUAUACGUAAAAAGGUUUCGUAGCUCAGGAAUUUUUUAAACAUCUGUAAAAGUUUCACUUGAAACUGACGUUACAAACCUCGAGCUACAAGUACAAGUUUUUGACUUGUUGUUGAAAUAUCAACAUUUGUCACUAUGAUGAAAGUUAGGAGGCGUGUCCAUCUUUAAAUGAGGAAAGAUGUCUCCUAAUGGCCGUCGGUAACAAGAGGAGGAGAUUUCCUCCAGUAAAAACUAUUUCAGUGAACAUCCGAGUCUUAUUUUAUGACAGUAAAAGAGAGUGAGUUGAAAAAUCGUGAUUCUUUAAUUAGUUCACGAGUCAAAUGAAGGAUUAUUCCUGAAAAAAGCUCAACACUCGAACGUCUAAGUAAUUUUGAACAGCCGCUGCUUCAACAAACCGAAGCAGAAUUUUCCGUUUUAACAAAAAAAGAAGCGAGGACGCGUGUACACAUUAAAUAUAAAUCAUUUUUUAUAAUAUACAAAUUGUACAGAUGUCAUGAACAGUAGGAAUGUGGACAUACUCAGGAUUGCAAGGAUUAAAGAAUACUUUUCUUUCACUGCUCUGCAAGUGACAACAGCACAUGAUCAAAGUUACUCAACAUUCAAGAUGGCAGCUGAAGUGAUCAGAGACAAACACACACACUAAAAAAAAAAACUAAGAAAAACUAAGAAUACAUUUUCCAGAGGCUGUGAGCUAAAGUGACAAACACAGAAAAAAAUAAAUCCCAUUUUAUCAUGAUCUGUCGUUCUACUCUGCCGUCAUAGUAUCACACAGGAAAUGAACCACUAUGUUUAUUUGUAUUUUUUUAACAGCAUCUCCAUGAACGAUUGCUCCAGCGCCACGACGGAGGCUCAGAGACACUUAUGCUGAUAUAACACAGGAGACCGUAUAUCAUGUUUUUCUUUUAACACAAAUGAGAAGAGGACCUGCAAAGCUCUCCUUGUUUUCACGGACGGAUGAGUUAACAUGGUUCAGCAUCAUUUAACUGAUAAAGCGUCAGAUCCUGUCUCUCUUCCCCCCACCCAAAUGAUUAAAAAAAACACAAUUACCUACAGUCCCCAGCGUGUUCUCAUGUCAGGGUGUCGGCCUGCACGGCAACCAAUCAGCUCUUAUCAGGGGAGAGUGACAGCCCUGAAGGUCGCGGCCUCAGGUUGGAUGGACGUGUGCUCGACCGGCUGGAACUUUUGUCAAGGUUGAGAUCGUCCAUGUCUGCGGAUGUUUUGAUACUUUACAGAUUUUUUCCCAAACUCCUUCUCCGAGCUUUUCUAAAAGGACGAAGUGGAAUCUGUUUUUUAUUUUCAGGACGCCAGAGGGGAAUAGAUGUCACAGUUUUCAGAUUGAGAAAAAUUAAUAAAAGGAGAAAGGUAGGGGUAUUGGGAUGUAUUCAUAUUCUUAAAACUGAUAGAUGACAGUUGAAAUGUUUCUCCUGACGCUGAGGAGAAUGGAGAAAUUGAUUAAAUCUGAUUAAAUCAGUUGACCAGGA